rnacentral:rRNA from 1 species
GAUGAACGCUGACAGAAUGCUUAACACAUGCAAGUCUACUUGAAUUUGGGUUUUUAACUUAGAUUUGGGUGGCGGACGGGUGAGUAACGCGUAAAGAACUUGCCUCACAGCUAGGGACAACAUUUAGAAAUGAAUGCUAAUACCUAAUAUUAUGAUAAUAGGGCAUCCUAUAAUUAUGAAAGCUAUAUGCGCUGUGAGAGAGCUUUGCGUCCCAUUAGCUAGUUGGAGAGGUAACAGCUCACCAAGGCGAUGAUGGGUAGCCGGCCUGAGAGGGUGAUCGGCCACAAGGGGACUGAGACACGGCCCUUACUCCUACGGGAGGCAGCAGUGGGGAAUAUUGGACAAUGGACCGAGAGUCUGAUCCAGCAAUUCUGUGUGCACGAUGAAGUUUUUCGGAAUGUAAAGUGCUUUCAGUUGGGAAGAAAGAAAUGACGGUACCAACAGAAGAAGUGACGGCUAAAUACGUGCCAGCAGCCGCGGUAAUACGUAUGUCACGAGCGUUAUCCGGAUUUAUUGGGCGUAAAGCGCGUCUAGGUGGUUAUAUAAGUCUGAUGUGAAAAUGUAGGGCUCAACUCUGUAUUGCGUUGGAAACUGUAUAACUAGAGUACUGGAGAGGUAAGCGGAACUACAAGUGUAGAGGUGAAAUUCGUAGAUAUUUGUAGGAAUGCCGAUGGGGAAGCCAGCUUACUGGACAGAUACUGACGCUGAAGCGCGAAAGCGUGGGUAGCAAACAGG